rnacentral:rRNA from 1 species
GACGAACGCUGGCGGCGUGCUUAACACAUGCAAGUCGAACGGAAAGGCCCUGCUUUUGUGGGGUGCUCGAGUGGCGCACGGGUGAGUAACACGUGAGUAACCUGCCCUUGUCUUUGGGAUAACUUCAGGAAACUGGGGCUAAUACCGGAUAGGAGCUCCUGCUGCAUGGUGGGGGUUGGAAAGUUUCGGCGGUGGGGGAUGGACUGGCGGCUUAUCAGCUGGUUGGUGGGGUAGGGGCUUACCAAGCCUUCGACGGGUAGCCGGCCUGGGAGGGUUACCGGCCACAUUAGUACUGAGGUACGCCGCAGACUCCAACGGGAGGCAGCAGUGGGGAGUAUUGCACAAUGGGCGGAAGCCUGAUACAGCGGCGCCGCGUGCGGGAUGACGGCCUUCGGGGGGUAAACCGCUUUCGCCUGUGACGAAGCGUGAGUGACGGUAAUUGGUAAAGAAGCACCGGCUAACUACGUG